rnacentral:rRNA from 1 species
UGCAUAUCCAAUAGCGGAGGAAAAGAAACCAACAGGGAUUGCCUCAGUAACGGCGAGUGAAGCGGCAAAAGCUCAAAUUUGAAAUCUAGCACCUUCGGUGUUCGAGUUGUAAUUUGAAGAUGGUAACCUUGGGUUUGGCUCUUGUCUAUGUUCCUUGGAACAGGACGUCAUAGAGGGUGAGAAUCCCGUCUGAUGAGAUGCCCAUUCCUAUGUAAGGUGCUAUCGAAGAGUCGAGUUGUUUGGGAAUGCAGCUCUAAGUGGGUGGUAAAUUCCAUCUAAAGCUAAAUAUUGGCGAGAGACCGAUAGCGAACAAGUACAGUGAUGGAAAGAUGAAAAGAACUUUGAAAAGAGAGUGAAAAAGUACGUGAAAUUGUUGAAAGGGAAGGGCAUUAGAUCAGACUUGGUGUUUUACGAUUAUCUUCUCUUCUUGAGUUGUGCACUCGUAUUUCACUGGGCCAGCAUCGAUUCGGAUGGCAAGAUAAUGGCAGUUGAAUGUGGCUUCACUUCGGUGGAGUGUUAUAGCUUCUGCUGAUAUUGCCUGUCUGGAUCGAGGGCUGCGUCUUUUGACUAGGAUGCUGGCGUAAUGAUCUAAUGCCGCCCGUCUUG